rnacentral:rRNA from 1 species
GUGUCAGCAGCCGCGGUAAAACGUAGGACGCAAGCGUUAUCCGGAUUUACUGGGCGUAAAGCGCGUGCAGGCGGUCUGUUAAGUCGGACGUGAAAGCUCCCUGGCUCAACCGGGAGAGGUCGUUCGAAACUAGCAGACUGGAGGGCAGCAGAGGAGUGUGGAAUUCCGGGUGUAGUGGUGAAAUGCGUAGAUAUCCGGAGGAACACCAGUGGCGAAGGCGGCACUCUGGGCUGUACCUGACGCUAAGACGCGAAAGCGUGGGUAGCGAACGGGAUUAGAUACCCUUGUAGUCC